rnacentral:misc_RNA from 1 species
CUUCUUCUUGUUCUUCGUCCAGCCGCCCCAGGCACAGGAACACCUCCCAUUCUCUCUCUCUCUCUCUCUCUCAUACGGAGUUAUCUUGUGGGUUUUGCUGAUAUUUUAGGGAUUUUAGCUCUUUCAGGUACUUCUGUGAAGGUUCUUGAUCUCAUUCUAAGUUGAAAAUGGGUUGGAAAGCUGCUGAAAAGCUAAUUAGGCACUGGAAAGUACUCAGAGG